rnacentral:rRNA from 1 species
ACGCUCGACACCUACGGGAGGCAGCAGUAGGGAAUCUUCCACAAUGGGCGCAAGCCUGAUGGAGCAACACCGCGUGAGUGAAGAAGGGUUUCGGCUCGUAAAGCUCUGUUGUUGGAGAAGAACGUGCGUGAGAGUAACUGUUCACGCAGUGACGGUAUCCAACCAGAAAGUCACGGCUAACUACGUGCCUGCAGCCGCGGUAAUCUGAGCGGGCUGGCAAGGC